rnacentral:lncRNA from 1 species
CUCUCAUUAAUUUUGAAUUAAUAUUCUUGAGGUAGUUUAGACACAGAGUUAUUGAAAGAGAGUUGUCCAUCUUGAAGAAUUUUCCUAUAGAUGUGCUCUGAACAUUCUUUAUGCUUUAUUCUCUUGACAGGAGUGAUUUUCCCUGGACGUUAGUGAUUUAUGUGAACUCCAGAUCAGUGAAAUGCACAGUCUCAGAAGGAAGGACAUGCAACAUCUCACAGAUCACAGCCUUAAAAAGGAUCCAAAACCAGUCAGCAACCACAUCUUCCACACGCUGCAGAGCUGCCCUUCAGAAUCCUCUGGUUUGUACCUGGAGGGAGCCUCGGACACGUAGGUCACGGCAAGUUAAAAGAAGUGGAGUUAAGGAUGUCACCCCAAAACCUGCGCCCGCUCCCCUCUCAGCACCAUCUCCGCACGUCCCACACGGAGUCCUGCACCUUCCAGGAGCUAUGCAAAGGAAGGGUGGAGCCCGUUCCUCACCUCCUGUCCGCAGCCGCAGAAGAUAGUACAUCCUGAAAGCGUGACAUCUGCCACAAUCCCUUUUUCCUCCUUCCCCUCGCGGAAGAGAAGGAAGGGUAGAUUGGGACAGUUAUCUCGGCUUCCACGCAGACAUGCUACAAGGGUGGGAGACACAGAGGGUAGCUGAGCAGACAACCGCAAACACUGCAGAGGCACAGGACCUCCCUGAAGAUGGCCUUGGCCUCCUAAGAGUCCCUCCGGAGUCCUACAGCUGUUCCUGCCGUCCAGAUGGGAAAACGUGCGUGCACGCACACGCGAGAGAGCCCCUGAGGAAGUACCUGUGGGGGCAUCUAAGUCAAAGUUAGUACAGCGUGUGUAUAUACUUAUUUACAAAAAAAUAGUGAGAGAACUUUUAAGCUCUACCACAAAGAUACGGCCAUCGCUGCCGCUGCAGCGCACGCUGCUGGGUUUAUAUUGCACCAGAGAUAACGCAGAGAGAAAAUCGUACCCCAGAGGAAGCGUAGCUUGGACUGCUUUUCACAAAGAAAAGUCUUAACCAUACAAUUCACUGAAGCUGGAAAAGUUUCAUUUAAAAAUAAACAAAACGUAAUACUGGGGUCCA